CGGGUGGUAAUGCCGGAUGCUCCAGUUGACCGCAUGGUCCUCUGGGAAAGCUUUUGCGGUAUGGGAUGGGGUCGCGUCCUAUCAGCUUGAUGGCGGGGUAACGGCCCACCAUGGCUUCGACGGGUAGCCGGCCUGAGAGGGCGACCGGCCACAUUGGGACUGAGAUACGGCCCAGACUCCUACGGGAGGCAGCAGUGGGGAAUAUUGCACAAUGGGCGCAAGCCUGAUGCAGCGACGCCGCGUGCGGGAUGACGGCCUUCGGGUUGUAAACCGCUUUUGACUGGGAGCAAGCCCUUCGGGGUGAGUGUACCUUUCGAAUAAGCACCGGCUAACUACGUGCCAGCAGCCGCGGUAAUACGUAGGGUGCAAGCGUUAUCCGGAAUUAUUGGGCGUAAAGGGCUCGUAGGCGGUUCGUCGCGUCCGGUGUGAAAGUCCAUCGCUUAACGGUGGAUCCGCGCCGGGUACGGGCGGGCUUGAGUGCGGUAGGGGAGACUGGAAUUCCCGGUGUAACGGUGGAAUGU
rnacentral:rRNA from 1 species